GUCUAAGUAUAAGCACUUGUACUGUGAAACUGCGAAUGGCUCAUUAAAUCAGUUAUCGUUUAUUUGAUUGUACCUUUACUACUUGGAUAACCGUGGUAAUUCUAGAGCUAAUACAUGCGAAAAGUCCCGACUUCUGGAAGGGAUGUAUUUAUUAGAUUCAAAACCAAUGCGGGUUCUGUCCGGACUGUAGUUACUUCUAAUUUCCAAUUGAGUGGCGCGAUAGCUCAGUGGUACGGGCUUCGCUUCUCAAACAAGAGGGCCGGGGUUCGGAUCCAGGUCAGAUCAACUUAAGAAUUUUUCAGGGGUGUAAAGUUGAG
rnacentral:ncRNA from 1 species